GUUGGGUAGGGGAGCGUUCUGUAAGCCUGCGAAGGUGUACUGUGAGGUAUGCUGGAGGUAUCAGAAGUGCGAAUGCUGACAUAAGUAACGAUAAUGCGGGUGAAAAACCCGCACGCCGGAAGACCAAGGGUUCCUGUCCAACGUUAAUCGGGGCAGGGUGAGUCGACCCCUAAGGCGAGGCUGAAAAGCGUAGUCGAUGGGAAACGGGUUAAUAUUCCCGUACUGGUGGUAACUGCGAUGGGGGAACGGAGAAGGCUAGGUUGUCCGGGCGACGGUCGUCCCGGUUCAAGCAGGUAGGCAGAGUGAUUAGGCAAAUCCGGUCACUUAAUGCUGAGAUGUGAUGACGAACCACCAAGGUGGUGAAGCAAUUGAUGCCCCGCUUCCAGGAAAAGCCUCUAAGCUUCAGGUUACCAACAAUCGUACCCCAAACCGACACAGGUGGUCAGGUAGAGAAUACUCAGGCGCUUGAGAGAACUCGGGUGAAGGAACUAGGCAAAAUGGUGCCGUAACUUCGGGAGAAGGCACGCUGGCGGUAGGUAAAGUCCCUCGCGGACGGCGCCCAAGCCAGUCGAAGAUACCAGCUGGCUGCAACUGUUUAUUAAAAACACAGCACUGUGCAAACACGAAAGUGGACGUAUACGGUGUGACGCCUGCCCGGUGCUGGAAGGUUAAUUGAUGGGGUCAGCCGUAAGGCGAAGCUCCUGAUCGAAGCCCCAGUAAACGGCGGCCGUAACUAUAACGGUCCUAAGGUAGCGAAAUUCCUUGUCGGGUAAGUUCCGACCUGCACGAAUGGCGUAAUGAUGGCCAGGCUGUCUCCACCCGAGACUCAGUGAAAUUGAACUCGCUGUGAAGAUGCAGUGUACCCGCGGCAAGACGGAAAGACCCCGUGAACCUUUACUAUAGCUUGACACUGAACAUUGAGCCUUGAUGUGUAGGAUAGGUGGGAGGCUUUGAAGUGUGGACGCCAGUCUGCAUGGAGCCAACCUUGAAAUACCACCCUUUAACGUUUGAUGUUCUAACCUAGGCCCAUAAACUGGGUCGGGGACCGUGUCUGGUGGGUAGUUUGACUGGGGCGGUCUCCUCCUAAAGAGUAACGGAGGAGCACGAAGGUUGGCUAAGCAUGGUCGGACAUCAUGCGGUUAGUGCAAAGGCAUAAGCCAGCUUGACUGCGAGAGUGACGGCUCGAGCAGGUACGAAAGUAGGUCUUAGUGAUCCGGUGGUUCUGAAUGGAAGGGCCAUCGCUCAACGGAUAAAAGGUACUCCGGGGAUAACAGGCUGAUACCGCCCAAGAGUUCAUAUCGACGGCGGUGUUUGGCACCUCGAUGUCGGCUCAUCACAUCCUGGGGCUGAAGUAGGUCCCAAGGGUAUGGCUGUUCGCCAUUUAAAGUGGUACGCGAGCUGGGUUUAGAACGUCGUGAGACAGUUCGGUCCCUAUCUGCCGUGGGCGUUGGAAGAUUGAGAGGGGUUGCUCCUAGUACGAGAGGACCGGAGUGAACGCACCACUGGUGUUCGGGUUGUCAUGCCAAUGGCAUUGCCCGGUAGCUAAGUGCGGAAGAGAUAACCGCUGAAAGCAUCUAAGCGGGAAACUUGCCUCGAGAUGAGUCUUCCCUGUCACUUUAAGUGACCUAAAGGAACGUUUAAGACUAAGACGUUGAUAGGCUGGGUGUGUAAGCGUAGCGAUACGUUGAGCUAACCAGUACUAAUGAACCGUGAGGCUUAACCUG
rnacentral:rRNA from 1 species